GCCACUCACUGUAAGCUUUUGGAGCAACCCACCUUGGCAUAGUUUCUCUGGUAAGAAGCCGCUUAACUGGUUGGUGUCCAAUUGCAGCACCUUCAAGUUCACUAGAUCCCCUAAGGAUCUAGGAAUUGAACCAAAAAGGUGAUUGUCACGGAGAAACAAAGAUGUUAGGUAGGUCAAGUUACCCAAAGAAGAAGGAAUUGGGCCGGUGAGCUGAUUUGUACUUAGCUCUAAGUCAAGCAUAGCGUGGAGAUUUCCCAUUUCAUUAGGAAUGUGACCGGAAAGGUUAUUACCGUAGAGAUAAAGAGAGGUAAGCUCCAUCAAAUUGCCUAAUGUUGGUGGGAUUGAACCCAUAAGAUUAUUAUCAUUAAGGCUCAACUCAUUAAGACGAUUCAAAUUCCCUAGCUCCAGUGGGAUGGAACCAGUAAGCUCAUUAGCAAAUAGGUUCAGCUCUGUCAAUUUGGUUAAGUUCCCCAAAGUGGAAGGAAUCGGUCCUGUUAGGAAGUUGUUGUCCAUGUGGAGCACUUCCAAAUUUGUCAUAUUUCCCAUUUCAGGAGGAAUAGAACCAGAAAGGGAGUUGUUGUAGACAUACAGUAUAGCCAAUUUGCUCAAAUUACUUAAUGAGGAAGGUAUGGGUCCAUUCAAAUGGUUCGAAUAUAGCGCGACCUCAUUGAGCAAAUGCAAUUGUCCAAUUUCUUGGGGAAUGGAGCCAUUUAACUCAUUGGAAACCAGGUGCAAGACUGUUAGUUUAGUUAGAUGGCUUAUCUCUGUCGGUAUUUUCCCCAUGAACCGAUUGAUAGAGAGGUCAAGAUAGGUGAGAUUGCUCAAUAGACCGAUUUGAGGCGGAAUAUAACCAGAGAGACUAUUUAUACUCAGGUCCAUGUANNNNNNNNNNNNNNNNNNNNNNNNNNNNNNNNNNNNNNNNNNNNNNNNNNNNNNNNNNNNNNNNNNNNNNNNNNNNNNNNNNNNNNNNNNNNNNNNNNNNGGUUGACAGAGCAAAAUCGUUUAUCAGACGAUAUCUUCUACAAAGUGAUCCAGUGCACGGCUUGGAUUUGUUGCAUCUCUCACAGGAUCAGUGGGCUUCUGUGAUUUUUGAACUCCAUCAAAAAUGGUUGAACGAGCUGAUAGCGCGUGAGAAAUCAUUUUCAUUGACGGCCUGAGUUGGGGAUUAUCAGAUAUGCAAGCGACUGCAAGCUUUAGGAUGGUCAGAAGUUCAUCCUCAAUGCCUGGCAUGGGCGUUGGCAGGCGUGAAUCCAAUAUAUUCUUCAAAACUACUGAGAUCUCCAUGCCGACCGGAGCUAAUAGAGAUGAAAGACUAUCACCCGGAUGUCUUCCUUUGAUCACCUCGAUGGCUACUAUUCCAAAGCUAUACACAUCGCAUUUCUCUGUCACCUUCAUUGUGUAAGCAAGCUCUGCACAAAGAAGGAGAUAUAUGUGUUAGCACAAAUACAUCACUUUAGCUAAACCGUUGGAUCAAGAGUCGAUUUUAGAAAUUAACCUGGAGCUACGUAACCAUAUGUGCCGACGACUGCACUCCAGUUUGAUGUGUCCAACUUAAGAAGCUUAGCCGUGCCAAAGUCAGAAACAUGCGCCACAUACUCCGAAUCAAGCAGAAUGUUGUUACUCGAAAUAUCUCGAUGAACGAUUGGAGAAAUACAAUCAUGGUGCAUAUAGGAUAGAGCAUGAGCCACCCCUUUUACUAUGUUCACCCUCUUGUUCCAAUCCAACUCCAUGGCUUCUUCUUCAUUGCUCAAGAUUGUAGACAAGCUUCCUCUAUCAAAGUACUCAUACACCAAGAAUGAGUGUUGUGGAUGCGAACAAAAGCCCUCUAGUUUCACAAUAUUGCGAUGUCGAAUUUCCGUCAAUGCCUUAAUCUCAUUCAAAAAUUCCUUUUGAUUUGUUUGCCCACUAUCAGCUGUUUGAUAGAGCUUCUUUACAGCUACUAUAUCACCUGAUCUUAAUUUGGCCUUGAAGACACUUCCAUAGCCUCCCCUUCCAAUACAGAAAAUCUCAUCAAAAGCCCCAGUGGAUUCUAUGAUGUCUUCAUAUAAGAUCAUUCCACCGUACUUUGAUAGAGAAAAGACUUUAGUUGUCUUGCUUGAUAGGUCCGCUUUUGGAUGGAACUUCUUUCUAAGGAAAAUGAAGAAUAUUCCAAAGAAAAUAAACAACACUACUCCUAGCAGAGAAAACGCAAUAAGAAUAACCCUACCUCCCGUUGAAGAGUUUUCCCUAUCCACCACUGCUUGAUUACAUGGCUUAAGUCCUCCAACAUUUCCACACAAUCCGUUGUUGCCUUCAAACGCUUCUUUUGUUGCAUUUUGGAAUGCGGUGGUGUUGGGGAUGGGACCCUCAAACUUGUUGUGAGAGACGUCCACCUCCAUCAAACCUCGCAUAUCCUUGAAAGUCUCAUAUAUAAGGCCAGAAAGAUUAUUGUGUGAAAGGUUGAGUUUCACUAGGCUUUCUAGCUUGUUGAAUUGAGUUGGGAUCUCACCGCUUAACAAGUUAUGACUCAAGUCUAGCUCGGAUAAAUGAGUUAGCAUCCCUAAUUGGCCUGGAAUAUCUUGGCUCAACUGGUUGUUGCUCAGAUCCAGGUGGAUUAAUUUUGAAGAAAACCCGAUAGUCUGCGGGAUAGACAUGCUUAAUCUAUUCCUUGACAAAUCCAAUUUUUGAAGACCAGGUAGCAACACAAUAGCUGGACUUAUUCGGUCAGAAAGUUGGUUCCUACUUAAAUUCAAAUUCACCAAAGAAGUCAAUUUUCCGAAUUCUUUUGGAAGCUCACCAACUAAGCUGUUGAAGGAAAGAUCAAUUGCACCCAGUUGAGUUGCGUUUCCAAUCUCUGGAGGCAAGCUACCAGUGAUGUUAUUUCCCGCAAUUCUUAGAUCCCUUAAACGCAUGCAACUUCCCCAGUUUGUUGAGAUUUCUCCAUAGAACUUGUUGAAACUCAUGUCAAUAAAGGUUAGGUUGGGGUAGACACCGAAGGUCUCGGAUAUGUUUCCAGUGAGCUGGUUUUCCUCAAAGCGUGCUCUGACUAAGCUUGUGCAAUUUCUCAAGCUUAUAGGGAUAGAACCAGUUAAGUUGUUGUCACUCACCGUAAGGUUUUGGAGCAACCCAUUUUGGCAUAGAUUCUCUGGUAAGAAGCCGCUUAAGUGGUUGGUAUCCAAUUGCAACACCUCCAAGUUCACUAGAUCCCCUAAGGAUCUAGGAAUUGAACCAAAAAGGUGAUUGUCACGGAGAAACAAAGAUGUUAGGUAGGUCAAGUUACCCAAAGAAGAAGGAAUUGGGCCGGUGAGCUGAUUUGUACUUAGCUCUAAG
rnacentral:lncRNA from 1 species